AUAAAAUUUGCAAGAUCCGCCCCAACCACCUUGAAAGUAAGAGGUGCUUGCUUCCCUGCUAUCUCUCGUUCCCUGGUGACCUAGGAUGGAGGACGGCCCUUCCCCGCUUGUUGCGCCUGCGCACCCUCUCCGCUCCCCAUGUGUUUUCUAUCUAUGUAGACAAUCUGGGGAUUUUCUCACAUUCUGUUUGUUACAGAUAUUGUCCCACAGAACAACUAGCUGCAAACCAGUUCUUGAUGCAAACCAGUUGGAGGAACAUGGAAGCCACAUGCGGAAGAUGGAGGAACCACCAAAUAGAAAUUUCCUGCCAACUUAAUCACUGCUUGCGGGAGAGCCACCUAUUCACUGGCCAUGCCUGACCUGUUUUACACUUAACAAGAGCAAGAUAUUACAUUAAGUGACUGGGAGUUUGUGGUUUAUCUGUUGUAGCAAGUAUCAUUGCAAUAAUUACUACAGUUAACAUGAUAAAAGAGGCUCAGUGUUGUCCAAUUAAUGAACUGCCAUCCCUGAACAGCAGCCUGUAUUUUAAAACUUAGGAUCUACAAUAUCUGGACUACAUUAGAUCUGGUGGUUGUUACGUUCAUCUUGAACCAAAUCACUUGCGUGUCAGGGGUAGCUUCUCCUCUGUGGAUUGGUCAGCAUGCAGCAUGAACAAACCGUCUCUUUGUUCUGUAACAAGCUUAACAUUUCCACACAGGGAUCACAAUCAUAUGCUUAUUUCAGUAGUUUUACUGAGAUCCUGAAAUUCUUCUCCUCUUUGUCUUGCAAGAGGUUUCUUGGGGAAAUAAAUACUCCCUCCAAUAAUUCAAAGGACUUACUGAGCUCCUGAAAGAAUUGGACGAAGCUGAUAUGAUGUCAACCAUUCUACAUCAAGUACUGGCUAUUCUACGAGAGGAUUCAAAAAAACAAAUUUGUCUGAGCACCACACACUAUUGACCUUCAUAUGGAAAAGCAAUUUUGUAACUAAUAUUUUUCAAAAUUGAUAAUAAACAAACAAGCAAAAAUACUUUAAUGUCCCAUGAUUCAAAACUUUAACAGGAAUUUAUAAUCUUAAACAAUACAAAAAGUUUUACAAAUAAUUUUAAUACUAUGUUAUUCACAGUUCAGGGGAAGAUGUGCAACAUAAUUAGAACAGUGCAGAAUACAGCAAUUGUAGAAAACGACACAAGUGAGAGAAAAAAUAUGAUGUAGGGAGAGGCAGAUUGAAGUAUGGGCUAUGAGAUACAACCUUAACGAAGAAAAGAGAAAAUGAUAGGUAAACAGUAAAAGCAUAGUGGACAAUGAAGGUGUGGAAUUGGUAUCGAAGUGAAAAAAUGAGCAAAAUACAGAGAAAGCAGUUCACUGCACUUGUACAUGGAAUAUGCUUAAGCCAAAUGUUUCUUGUCACAGCUGAUCUCCAUUUGGACUGCAAACUACAAAGUAAUUUAUCACCCAUUAUCAUUGAUCUGUAAAGAGUCAAGAUCAGACUAAUUUUUGUUCAUAAGUCUUCAACUACUUUUUUAAUUUAAAAAAGUCUACAAAAUCUCUAUACUGAGCAGGACAGGCUAAGCUAUCCAUCAGGGCAGAGACUAUUCUUGAAUUUUGCUCCUGGUCAAAGACAGGCUUCUUCCGCUUCAUCCUGUACCCAUGGAGCCAUGACACUUGUUUCAGGGAUGUGGCUUAGUUUGACAUCAGUCAGACCUUCACGACAUGGAGGUGUGAGAGAACACUAGAAAAUCUCUCCGACACAUUUCCCCUGAAACAACCAAGAGAAUGCAGAAACUCUUAUUUUAUGAAAUUAUAUUAUAAUUGCAUGUGCUUUAUAUGAUACUGUUAAAAAGUUAUUAAAUAUUAAUUCUCCAGAGCUGUUUCUGAGGGAAAGAUUUUUUAAUGGCAUUCCCAGGAUGUAUUGUAAUGCUUCCUUGUUUGUGUAUUUGAGUCUAUUUUUAGAAGAGAUUCUAAGUGGAAAUUAACUUAGAAAAUCUUUAAAAUAUUCCGCGUUUCACUGAGGCCAUGCUCACCCCUGGAGAAUGUUCUAAAAGAAUAAAAAAGAAGGAAGAGGAGACAUCCAUAUAAAUCAACUGAUAAAAGUUCUUUUCUUGAAGACUCUAAUUAGAGACAAGAAGAAGAAAGACUAAAACAAUAAUUGCCCUGAAAAAUGGAAAAAUAAUGUUGUGUCAAUUACGAAACAAAAGCAAGGCUUUUAGAAUUAUAUCUAUAUCUGAUAAAAAUUCCUCCCUACCUUUUUCCUUAGUGUUAUUCAAUCAAAUUAUUUGGGAAAUUAAUAUCAGAACUCAUUAUGUCCAUUAUGGAAACUUUAUUAUUUGUAAAUUGUAUCACUUAUACAACUAUGUAGAAUAAAUUUUGUGUAGUUCUGCAAACAAGAUGUGAGUUCAGGUAUUCACAUCAAACUAUUUUGAAAUUUUUAUAAGGCUCACAAAGAAUAGGAGUGUGUGUGCUUUAUGUGUGUAACUAAUAUUUCACUUACGCAGUUUUCUAUUACAUAAUUUCUCUCACUUAUGUAUGUAUUUAUUUCUUUGUCCAUAAUACGUGAACCCUCUUUAGCCAGCAUUACUAAGCUUCUCCUUCACCCUCACGUUUCACACAUGCAAAGUCAGUGCCCAUUAUUCAUCAUCCUCAAUAGUAAAUUCCCAAACAAUUUUAAAUUUUAUUUCGAAUUUAACGGUCAACUGUUGGAGGAGGUCAUCAAGAAGAUGUGACUGCCCAUGGACUGCAAGCUGGACCCAGGCAAUUGGAGGCUCCCCACCUCUCCCCUGUCUUUGGAAAGUGUGUUCUACUUGCCUUCCCUGCUCCAGGAAGUUACCCCAAGGAUACAGCCUUGAGAUAGAAAAUGUGGUUUUGAGACUAUCUGGAUUGGGUAUAUGACUGAACUCAGUUACGUCCCUACAUCAAUUUUUAAUAUUCUGGUGGGCAGAUGUGGACAUCACCUGGUCUUGCAGCUGCCUGUGACAAGCCUUGAGAGACUUCAGGGAUGCCCACACACAGAGGAAAGGCCUUGCAAGGACACAGCGAGAAGACAGUAGUCUGCAAGCUAAGGAGAGAUGCCUCAGGAGACACCAAACCUCCCAACACCUUGAUCUUGGACGUCCAACCUCCAGAAUCAUGAGAGAAUAAAUUUCUGUUGUUUAAGUCACCCAGUCUGUGGCUUUUUAGUAUGGAAGCCCCAGCAAACUAAUGUGUCUACAUAAAACAAGGUAGCUGUUUAUUCAGACAUGCAAAAUUGCCUGUUUGAAUUUUUCUACUGGCUGAAAAGACUUUGGAAAAUAGACUAGGCACAGGGGUAAAUCCUAGACUCUAUUCGUAGUAAUGGCUAUAGAGAACUUGAUUCUGAAGCAUGUGCCUUGGGCUCACUGUAAGUCAAGGACAUGUGGAACA
ensembl:lncRNA